CGCGAAACCUAUCCUGGCUUUGACGGAGCUGCGGGAUUUCUGCAACAACUUUGAACCAAGUGGAAUGGUUCUUGUGAAGAUGCAAUGGAAGUGUACAUAUUGUGAGUUCAUAAGUCGGCUCAGGUCGCCCCCGGAUCGCGCACCGUCAAACAGCGGACUCGCUGCGGACACCGGGGUAUCCGCACAUCAAACGCGUCUUUUUCCCCCGUUCAAAUACUGUAGGCAGGUAACAGGCAGCCUACCAUUAGGACCCAGGCAACAGGGGGCAUACAAUACAAUGGGGUGGGAGGUUCACCUUUCCUCCUGAACUCAGACAAACCUGAGAGAGCAGCUGAUCUACCUCGAGGCCAGCCUUUGUUUGAUUUCCUCCCUGGCAACCAUCAGAGGACAUGACACAAAACGGGUUACAUGGAACAUCUUGACCGCAUGUUCAACGAUGAUGUUGGGAAGAGAAUGAACUGGAAAGGGAUACAUGGGAAAAAGUCCUUAAGCCAGAUGGAGUCCAAGACUUUGCUCCUGAUGCUGUCGAAAGAAUCAUGUCUCACGUGCUGCCACAGAUGAUGAGAUUAUGAAACAGCAAUGAGGUUCAACCUGGCAGCAGACAGGGGAAGCUCCAGGAGGCGUGCCACAGUCAGCAUCCCUACUGAACAAGCCUAAACAUGUAUGUGUUAUACAUGUGAUACAUGCGAUGUUUUAAAAUCCUGUUUUUGAUACUAUUCAUUGCAGAGUUUGCUAUCUGUUUAGGUCUUAUAUGCAGAGACACCUCAACUGUGGAGUCUGCUAGCCCCUCCAAACCAAGCCUCACAUGGUUUUAAUCCCCCUUUGUCACCAAAGACUCUCUGGAAAUGUUUAACUUCUAAGAUACUUAUUUUGAAUUAUGUUAUAAGUUUGUUGAAUGAGGAGUAGGAAUGUUCCACCACUUGUGUUUUACAGUGUAUGCUCAGGACUGCAUAUUGGUGUUCAGUUGUUUCGAUAUGUUUAACCCAGUUCCUCUGUCCUUAUCCAGUCAAGUUGAAAUGUCUGCAUGUGAAUAGUCAUUCACAAGGCACCGUUACUGUGUAAUGCUGCAUUUCUUCUCUCGACAAGUUGGAAUUUCUUUCAGUUUUAACAGUUACAAUGCAAUGUUUUGAAAAAAUAAAACACAUUGGAACAUUAAAAUGUAUUGUUUAAUUUCGUUCCUUCUGUACAAUUUUCUUGAAACAAUACAUUAAAUCUCAAAAUCAAAUGGUAUAAUUAAUUUAAUUAAAAGUAAAGACAUUACUUAAAUAAAC